UGGUUAAGAGCGCUGACUGCUCUUCCAGAGUGAAAGACCCCCAGAGUGGGGAGACCCUCACUCAAGUCUCGGGAUGAUGCGACCCCCCAAGAACUCACACAAGACC
rnacentral:pre_miRNA from 14 species